UACGAAGGGGGCUAGCGUUGCUCGGAUUGACUGGGCGUAAAGGGCGCGUAGGCGGUUUGUACAGUCAGACGUGAAAUUCCUGGGCUCAACCUGGGGGCUGCGUUUGAUACGUAUGGACUUGAGUUCGGAAGAGGGUCGUGGAAUUCCCAGUGUAGAGGUGAAAUUCAUAGAUAUUGGGAAGAACACCGGUGGCGAAGGCGGCGACCUGGUCCGAUACUGACGCUGAGGCGCGAAAGCGUGGGGAGCAAACAGG
rnacentral:rRNA from 1 species